UACGUAGGGUGCAAGCGUUGUCCGGAAUUAUUGGGCGUAAAGAGCUCGUAGGCGGUCUGUCGCGUCGGAUGUGAAAAUCCAGGGCUCAACCCUGGACCUGCAUUCGAUACGAGCAGACUCGAGUCCGGUAGGGGAGUGUGGAAUUCCCGGUGUAGCGGUGAAAUGCGCAGAUAUCGGGAGGAACACCAGUAGCGAAGGCGGCACUCUGGGCCGGUACUGACGCUGAGGAGCGAAAGCGUGGGGAGCGAACAGG
rnacentral:rRNA from 1 species